GUGAGGAAUAUUGGACAAUGGGCGCAAGCCUGAUCCAGCCAUGCCGCGUGCAGGAAGACGCAUCUAUGGUGUGUAAACUGCUUUUGUACGGGAAGAAACACUCCCUCGUGAGGGAGCUUGACGGUACCGUAAGAAUAAGGAUCGGCUAACUCCGUGCCAGCAGCCGCGGUAAUACGGAGGAUCCAAGCGUUAUCCGGAAUCAUUGGGUUUAAAGGGUCCGUAGGCGGUUUAAUAAGUCAGUGGUGAAAGCCCAUCGCUCAACGAUGGAUCGGCCAUUGAUACUGUUAGACUUGAAUUACAAGGAAGUAACUAGAAUAUGUAGUGUAGCGGUGAAAUGCUUAGAUAUUACAUGGAAUACCAAUUGCGAAGGCAGGUUACUACUUGUGGAUUGACGCUGAUGGACGAAAGCGUGGGGAGCGAACAGGAUUAGAAACCCGUGUAGUCC
rnacentral:rRNA from 1 species